rnacentral:rRNA from 1 species
UACAGAGGGUGCAAGCGUUGCUCGGAAUUAUUGGGCGUAAAGGGUAGGUAGGUGGUCUUAUUUGUCUGAUGUGAAAGCCUUGGGCUUAACUCAAGAAGUGCGUCAGAAACGGUGAGACUAGAGUGCUGGAGAGGGUCGUGGAAUUCCCGGUGUAGCGGUGAAAUGCGUAGAGAUCGGGAGGAACACCAGAGGCGAAGGCGGCGACCUGGACAGUGACUGACACUCAACUACGAAAGCGUGGGGAGCAAACAGG